GGAAAGGAAUCAUCGAAGGGAAAAAAUCCUUAUAGGGAAGGAAGAGAACAGAAAAAGAACAGAAGAGAAGAGAAAAGCAUCUUUCGGAAGAAAGAGAGAAAGAGAAGGAAACGGUAGGAAGGAGGGGCACAAUGAACAAAUGCUGCAGCUCGCUCGCUCCCAAAUACAGCAAACCUCGAACUCAAGAAAAAAAAAAUAGAACAAAGAGAUAAGGAAGACCUUGAUGGAGUAGAAUCGGGUGCACACCAUGAGAGUCUCGUCUGGUGGAGCGCGGAGGCUUCGGAGUCUCGUCUGGUGGAGCACGACGACUCCACAAAUAUCGGCAUAAUAAAGCAUAAAAACACAAAGCGGUGGAAAAACAACGGUGGAAGAAGCUGAAGAAAUCUCCUAGAGCCACCUCGCAAUCUGCCAAGCUCGUGCUGCUCGUGCUUGCGAGGUUGAAGAAAGGGAAGAAACGGGGAUGGUGGUUUGUUAGAUGACAGAGGUAGCUAAUGGAGCUGAGGCAGGGUUGCAGCGAAGGACGGAUGACUUCUUUCCGUCCGAUUUUAA